rnacentral:rRNA from 1 species
UAGGGAAUCUUCCACAAUGGGCGCAAGCCUGAUGGAGCAACACCGCGUGAGUGAAGAAGGGUUUCGGCUCGUAAAGCUCUGUUGUUAAAGAAGAACACGUAUGAGAGUAACUGUUCAUUCGUUGACGGUAUUUAACCAGAAAGUCACGGCUAACUACGUGCCAC